rnacentral:pre_miRNA from 1 species
AUAAUACUCCCUCCGUCCCAAAAUUCUUGUCUUAGAUUUGUCUAAAUACAGAUGUAUCAAGUCACGUUUUAGUAUUAGAUACAUCCGUAUCUAGACUAAUCUAAGACAAGAAUUUUGGGACGGAGGGAGUAGAUU